ensembl:lncRNA
AAGUGCCUUAAGGUUAAUGAGGCAAUCUUCAUCAAUUCUUUUGCCAUCUGGAGAUGCUUCGUGGCAGCAAGAUCCUGUAAUGUUCCUACAAGAAUCAGCCAUCGGAGAAUCUGCAAAGAACAUUUCAAACGGAGGUAAUUCUUCCCAGGACAGAUACAUAGGACUGGUUUCCCGGGCACAGAUUAAGCCUAGUCCUGGAAUAUAAAUCAUUUUCAACUGAGAUUCUACCAUUUAUCUCUGGGUUUUUCUGGUCCACGACUAGGCUUAAUCUGUGUGUGAAACCGCAUCUUAAAUUAUAAAGGCUUGUACAUGCAAAUAGCCAC